CGGCUGGCCGCGAGGCAGCGCUUUGUGUGGGCUGCAGCUGCCCUUGAGGCUUUGCAGCGAGCGCGUUGGUUGUGCUGUUUCUUUGCCUAAAACCGUGGGCUGCCUGCUUGCUCCUUCCUCUGAGGCUGGUUAUGAGCAGGAAAAGGGAAGCUGAUAGAAGAGGAGUUUAAGGAGAACAAAUAAAAAGUAUGAGUUAUGCAUACUUUCCCUUUCUGAUGUCCCCUGAGGCACAUUGCAGAGUUAUUCCAUGGGACUCCUACAGAAGAUCACGUGCAUCAGAGAAAGCUUGCAGCAUCCAUCAGUGUGGAAUGGAUGGUACACGUGACCAUAUGGAGGCUCUCUGCAUAGAGAGAGCGGGCUUCAGCUGCAGGAUGGCUGAUGAUACAAAGCAAUAGCACGCCCUCGUCUGGAUUACUGUGACCAGUUGCAAGCAGUGAGUGCAAAAAGGGAUACAGGAAGGGAAACAGCAAAC
ensembl:lncRNA